UACAGAGGUCCCAAGCGUUGUUCGGAUUCAUUGGGCGUAAAGGGUGCGUAGGCGGCGCGGUAAGUCGGGUGUGAAAUCUCGGAGCUUAACUCCGAAACUGCAUUCGAUACUGCCGUGCUUGAGGACUGGAGAGGAGACUGGAAUUUACGGUGUAGCGGUGAAAUGCGUAGAUAUCGUAAGGAAGACCAGUGGCGAAGGCGACUCACUGGACACAUAUUGACGCUGAGGUGCGAAAGCGUGGGGAGCAAACAGG
rnacentral:rRNA from 1 species